UACGGAGGGGGCUAGCGUUGUUCGGAAUUACUGGGCGUAAAGCGCACGUAGGCGGCUUUGCAAGUUAGAGGUGAAAGCCCGGGGCUCAACUCCGGAAUUGCCUUUAAAACUGCAUCGCUAGAAUUGUGGAGAGGUAAGUGGAAUUCCGAGUGUAGGGGUGAAAUUCGUAGAUAUUCGGAAGAACACCAGUGGCGAAGGCGACUUACUGGACACAUAUUGACGCUGAGGUGCGAAAACGUGGGGAGCAAACAGG
rnacentral:rRNA from 1 species